rnacentral:rRNA from 1 species
GAGACAGCAGCCGCCGCGGGAACACGUAGGUCCCGAGCGUUGUCCGGAACUAUUGGGCGUAAAGCGCGCGCAGGUGGUUUAAUAAGUCUGAUGUGAAAGCCCACGGCUCAACCGUGGAGGGUCAUUGGAAACUGUUAAACUUGAGUGCAGGAGAGAAAAGUGGAAUUCCUAGUGUAGCGGUGAAAUGCGUAGAGAUUAGGAGGAACACCAGUGGCGAAGGCGGCUUUUUGGCCUGUAACUGACACUGAGGCGCGAAAGCGUGGGGAGCAAACAGGAUUAGAUACCCCCGUAGUCCCUGUCUCUUAUAC